rnacentral:rRNA from 1 species
AGAGUUUGAUCCUGGCUCAGAAUGAACGCUGGCGGCGUGCCUAACACAUGCAAGUCGGAUGUGCCGCAAGGUGCAUGGCAGACGGGUGAGUAACGCGUAGGGAAUCUACCUUUUUGUGGGGAAUAACGCUCCGAAAGGAGUGGUAAUACCGCAUGAGACCGUGACCUGGGAUGGUUACGGUGAAACCUGGGGACCGCAAGGCCUGGGGCAAAAAGAGGAUCCUGCGUCUGAUUAGCUAGUUGGCGGGGUAAUGGCCCACCAAGGCGACGAUCAGUAGCCGGCCUGAGAGGGUGAUCGGCCACACUGGAACUGAGACACGGUCCAGACUCCUACGGGAGGCAGCAGUGGGGAAUUUUGCGCAAUGGACGAAAGUCUGACGCAGCAACGCCGCGUGGGUGAUGAAGGUCUUCGGACUGUAAAACCCUGUCGUCAGGGACGAAGGUGGCAGUGUUAAUAGCGCUGUUACUUGACGGUACCUGGAGAGGAAGCCCCGGCUAACUCUGUGCCAGCAGCCGCGGUAAUACAGAGGGGGCAAGCGUUAUUCGGAAUUAUUGGGCGUAAAGGGCGCGUAGGCGGUUUUUUAAGUCAGAUGUGUAAUCCCCGAGCUCAACUUGGGAACUGCAUCUGAGACUGGAAGGCUAGAGUACUGGAGAGGGUGGUGGAAUUCCUCGUGUAGCAGUGAAAUGCGUAGAGAUGUGGAGGAAUACCGAUGGCGAAGGCAGCCCCCUGGGUUAACACUGACGCUCACGCACGAAAGCGUGGGGAGCAAACAGGAUUAGAUACCCUGGUAGUCC